AAAUCGGAACCCUAAAGGGAGCCCCCGAUUUAGAGCUUGACGGGGAAAGCCGGCGAACGUGGCGAGAAAGGAAGGGAAGAAAGCGAAAGGAGCGGGAGCCCGGAGAUGGGUACUGAGACAAGGACCUGGGCCCUAAGGGGCGCAGCAUUCGCGAAAACUCCGCAAUGCGCGAAAGCGUGACGGGGGAACCCCAAGUGCCAGCACAAUGUGUUGGCUUUUCUGGAGUGCAAAAAGCUCCAGGAAUAAGGGCUGGGUAAGACCGGUGCCAGCCGCCGCGGUAACACCGGCAGCCCGAGUGAUGUCCGCUGUUAUUGGGCUUAAAGCGUUCGUAGCCGGCCUGUUAAGUCCCCGGUCAAAUCCGACGGCUCAACCGUCGGUUAUCUGGGGAUACUGGCAGGCUUGAGGCCGGGAGAGGUCAGAGGUACUCCUGGGGUAGGGGUAAAAUCCGAUAAUCCUGGGGGGACCACCAGUGGCGAAGGCGUCUGACUGGAACGGGCCUGACGGUGAGGGACGAAACCCUGGGGAGCGAUCCGGAUUAGAUACCCGGGUAGUCCAGGGCGUAAACGAUGUGGGCUGGGUGUGGGCUAAUCAGAAGGAUUAGUCUGUGCCGAAGCGAAAGCGAUAAGUCCACCGCCUGGGGAGUACGG
rnacentral:rRNA from 1 species